UACUUGAUUCGAUGCUCGGAGUUAGAUGAUUAUUCGUAGGGUGGAAUGGUUAAGGAUUACAAAUUGGGAAUUGAUCCAAGAUGCUAUUUCUUCAGACGACAUUGGUUAGGAAGAUCUCAAUGGGAUAGUUCAUGGCAAUCUGUAAGUUAUUAAACUUUCCGACAGAUUGUAUACACUUGAUUGUUCUUGCUUGGUUGAGGACAAUGGUUUGAUUGCAGCUUCUCAUUGCUUGAGAAAGAUGAGAGGCAAACCAUGAAGUAUUUAGCUUCACCAGCUGGACGAGUAAGGAUUUUAUUUUUCUUCUGAAGAAAGGACGAUUUGCGCUGAGAAUGCUGGGAUCCAUUGAUUUUUCAAUAGUGCGGGAGGCUUUUACAGUAAACGGAGCCAAGCGCAUGUUUAUUCAAUGAGAUGGUUUGUCCUGUUCUUCGUCCAUGCUGAUGCUCGAUACUUUGAUCGAAGCACUUAUUUUUUCGGAAUGGUAUCAUUGUUCACAGAGAAUUGUUUCAGCCUCAGCAGAGAACAACCAACCAGAAGGUCACUCUUUUUCUUUUGGCUACCGGAUGAAGAUGCAUGUUUCCGUGGUGGGACCGACGGCUGUGGGGAUCGAGGUCAUUUCCCCGCAGAGCUAUGCCCUGAUCCACUAGCAGUAGCUCCAACAGUGGGUUGCACGAGGGGAGGGCUAGGAGAACGCGAAAAUAUAUUCACCGUCGCGGUUUCAUUCAGUGGGUGCUCGAGGAACCUGGUUCAAACGGACUGGGUAAGAGAUUGACUGCUAGCUGUCUAACUCCUAUGAUAGUGUCGUCCUCACCAGGCAAAGAUACUGAUGAACUAUUAACAGUGGGAGGUUCAGCCGUUUCUGACGACAUUCCAAAGCGGCCGGUAGCAACAGUUGAUGCACAAAGGAACGCAAUGGAGUUAUAAGCUGGAAAAGGUUUAUCUCUACAGUUGGCAUUAGCAGAAUUCUCCUGAAGAAAAAUUACAAAAAUUAGAAUACAUGAAGAAUAUAGGGAAAGAAUAAACUGCAUUUACUGUAAUAAAGUCUUACCGCAAUGACUGCGUCCCAGUCAGUAGGGUCACUGGCCGUGGGUAUAUUGUUCACACUGUCCCAUCCCCAACUGCUCUUAUUCGCUAAUUUGUAAUAUGUCAUGUACAAUCUCUUCAGAACCUUGAGGCGGUUGUUGCUUCUUCGUCAGGUUCUGGCUUGUUUGUAAGUUGAAAUCAUUAAUGAUUCUAACCCACGCAACAUGCGUGAAACUAUGACCAACGUAGUUUCCAAGCGCGUGCUCCUUCAUUAGAAGACUCAACAAAAUGCUAUCGAGAUGAUCAGUCCAGUUCGCAGUGCGGGUCCUCGUUUCAUUGAGGCUCCUGCUGGUACCCUCUACGUUACCGCAAGGGAAUGCAUUAUUGAAACCCCCAGCUCUGUUUAAAUUGGACUUAGACACAUUUUUCGCCGGACGCAUCUGUAUGUAAACAAAAUUGUAUUCUUAUGAUUUUCUCGCUAGGGUCGACACAUGGAGCAUGUAGGUUUAACAUAUUAUGACAAUGUAGUUGUGAAUCAUAUCAGCCUAUAGAGUAGUAUAAAAUUAUAUGAAAUGAAUACUAGCCUUAUUCAAAGCAACAGAACAACAAAACCUUGCUAAGCAUGAAAGCAGCAUAUAGUUAUUGGCCAAUGUACAAAAACAUUUCAUCGGAGCAAGAGAUAUGUAACCAUCUCAACACAUGAUGAUAUAUAGUUCAAGUGUAGAUGCGAAAUUUAAAUGAUGAUAUAUUUAGAAGUAAGGCUGUCCACAAGAUAUUGUAUCAAAGUGUAACAACUUUGCUCUCUAAUUAAAGUGCUGCGAUGGGGGCAAGUGGCUCAGGGGGUUCCCGAUUACCAUGGGGCUGCAUAGAAAUGUACUUCCAUGCCUACCAUCAAAUGGUAACGGCAACCGGCAUCAUCGCCAAAUCGAUAAUCAUAAAGACGUAAUUACAACAUAUCGAAGUACACAUGUUUAACAAACGUUAAUCAUCGUCUUUAGAGGGCUCAUAUGGCUUCCAAUUAGUAUGGGGUUGCAUGGAUGUUCACAUCCAUACCAUCCAACGAAUACUAUUGAAAACCAUCAUCAUUGCCAAAUAAUCCAGUAUGUUCCAUUUCCUAUACUUGUUCGGCAAUAUAAAAAACGGAAUAACUCCAAGUUCAUUUCCUAGUUGGCCAUCUCUCAAUUUAGAACAAGUAAUUUGCCGACACAAUUUUUUUUUCAUAACAGAUGUUAUUGUCGAAAGCUCGAAAAAAAUUUACCUUCCAAAGCAAGUGAGGCGUGCAAUAGGACAGCAAGAAGAGAGGAUUCCUUAAUUACAGUGUCGCCACAGAAAGCUACAGAGCAAGGCACGUUCGCGAGGUAGGGCGAUAGUGCCGAUACAACGCCUCGCAAGCGGCGGCGGCAUACCGUGCCAGCCAAAAAAGGGUCACUGCAAAUAAGAAAUAAGAACACCCAACAAAAAAAGAAAGAGAUAUAAAUCACAGUCGUUCAACUUUUACCGUUGGCCAAAGGGAUCGCCGAAACCCCGUAAAAAAGGACACCUAUGAACGGGGUCGCCUAAACCAGAUUUGCAACACCGUUCACAGAUCUGCAACAUUGUUCACAAUUUCUUUCACAGAUCUGCAACACCGUUUGCAAACAGGGUCGCCCAAACCAGCCAAAAAAAGCACAUGACCCAGGAUCGAAGGUCAAUAUAGGAGCGGAGGCCGCAAACCCUACCGUGGCUGUCCGGGAUCGCACAGAUCUGCAGGACAGGCGGCAAAGGGGUCUCGCAAACCCACAUAGAAGGAGAAAAUGCCCGAUCAGAUGUCCAGACGGUCUCAGGGAGCCCGCAAACCCUUUGCCUAUAGAUCUGCAUCACGCACGGCAAAAGGGAGCGUGCACAAACCACCCUAAAAAAGUAGGGCUUCCGACAAGCGGAGGUGAAGGUGACGACGGGAGCACGCUUCACCGGCCGUUGAGAAGCAGAGAGAUAACGAGAGAGAGAGAGAGUAGGUGAGAUAUGUCGGGAGGACGCUGCGAAGGAGAGAGAGAGGGAGUAGGUGAGGAAGGAGGUGAAAGGACGAAGCCAGGGGUAGCAGGGGAAUCUUCGUACCGGGAUUGCACUAUUCCACCGAGGGGGUGGGAACUAUUGUUCCCACAUUACAAAAAAGUGUUUAGGGAUAAGGACAGGGAUAACUGCUUAUCCUCAUCAUUAUCCCCAAUCCAAACAGGGUGUUAGGUUUCUCCAUCAAUCAAAUCAGACAUCUUUAAUGUUAUUCGUACUACAUGCCUUUCCAUCCACGUAAGUUUUGUUUGUUGUACUUUUUGCUAAAGUCAUCCGAUUCUCUAUUUGUGUGGAUAAACCUGGUCUUUCCUUCGAAAGCUUCCAAGGUGAACAACUAAUUUGAACUAUGUACUUUGAAGAUAUGUACGUGUGUAUACAUAUACAUGUAUGUCGAUAUGUAUAUUUUUAUCUUCAUUAACCUAGGUUGCUCUCACAAGUGUUUGAAUUCAUGAUACGUUCUACUAGUAAAUUUG